GGGCCUGUAGCUCAGCUGGGAGAGCGCGCGGUUCGCAUCCGCGAGGUCAGGGGUUCGAGUCCCCUCAGGUCCACCA
rnacentral:tRNA from 1 species